rnacentral:lncRNA from 1 species
CAUUUCAAAAUUGUUCUUUCAUGUCAACUAGGUGCAUGUCUGCUAAGGGAGUUUUUGCAAGGACAGGUGGAUAGUGUGAGGCCUUUACAAUAAUCACAUCACCAUCUGGUACUAUCUGUAUGGCAGAGCAGUUCUGAUGUAGUUGUAGUAUUAUAGAUCAUUACAGAGUAUGCCAGUCAUUCCAUGAUGGAACUGUGACUGGCAGCCUUCAUUAGCCCAAAGACUGAUGCAACAGAUUGCUUUGAGAAAUAGUUUUGAAGCACAUCCAUGAAACAUAUGAUCCUAUGGGUUCCAGCAUUGAUUUCUUUGAGGUAUCAUUUUACACUUCAGUUUUUCCUGGUAGAGUAUUUUUCAGAGAUGUCUCUUCUGAGGCUAAAUUAGGAAUUUCUGUUCCUUAUUCAAGUUCCAAGAAUUGUGCCUUUCCUGCCCUCUGCCCAAACUGGAAGAUAGAAACCGUGGGAAAAAAGUGUCUUUACAAACUGCACUGUUAUCUAACUUGGUUUAUUUAGCAUAUUGAGGAAGACUUUCACAUCCAUGGAAUCCUAGUUCUAUUAAUUCUCUCCAAGCUACAACAGUUGUUUUUUUGUUUGUUUUUUUCCGAGUUUCUCGGUUCCGCCAGCAAGGCAGGGGUGGGAGGUGGGCACCCCUGAUACCAAGGCUGACAGGUAGUGAGUUGAUGUGGAACUUCUGUUUCCUCCUGUUCAGUUCAGGUUCUCUCUUUCUGAUACUUACCCCUCCUCAAAUAGGGAAACGGAGAGAGGGGAAAUAAGAAGAUGAGCCUUAAUAGGGUUUACUUAAUUGGGGUCAUAAAGAUUCUAAAAAGUAUGCAUUCCUGCAGUUCUGUUCUAGGCACUGUAAGAGCUGACCAGAAAGAGAGCUUCUACCCUUAUAACCUUCAUCCAACUCAGUCAUGCCUGGGAAGGAUGUUGGUGCUAAUUUUAGACACAGAGACUAAGAUGGACAAAGGACAAGUAUCAUAAAGCAUUUUUGGAGCCAGGAACAGAUUUAAGUUCCUUGCCUCACUGCUGCUCUUACUCCAAACCACACAAUUGUACCCAAGUGAAUUGCUGUUAGAAUUGGUGCCUUUGGAGGAGACAAUUGCUCGUAAUUGGUAGCUACAAGCCACUUCACUGAGAAAGCGUGGGGUCUUAGAUGCUUUAAGAAAUAAUAGAAAGACUGAGCCUGAGUGAGUCAGGCUCUUCUGAGUCAUACAGCUUUUAGGUCAGUGUAAAAUGCCGACUUUCUGAGGUCUUACUUUUUUCCCCUCUCUGGAAGACCUAAGGCAAAGAUCGCUCUCAAAGAGAUAUCAAAGAAUAGAGACCUUUCCCUCAGAACCUACCUCUGCCCAGUGUUAACCAAAAUGUGGUUUCAAAUCACCUGUUCAAAGCCCACAGGCUAUUUGUUAAACAUGCAGAUUCUUAGUGCUCCCUCCACCCACACAGACACUGCACAAGAGGCCCUGCUUUGGACCACUAGUUCCUAAACAUGGCAGAAAAUCUGGAUCACCUGGGAGACUUUUUAGGUUAAAAACCGGAAACAAUAUGUAAGCAUAAACAUGUCAACAAAAUUAGAGGAUGUCCCUC